UUUGCUAUUGACAUUUUAGGCUGACGUGGUUCUUAAAAUAAGCGCAAAGUUCCCCUAAAACAUUAUUGCAAACACAGUUGUUGUAGAGAUGCCACUUCCUAAAUAUACCACCAGAGCUAGUUUUGAGUUGGAACCUGGAGCUACUGGUCAAAGAACAGAUUUCAAAGAAGCAAAUAAGAAACUUGAAUGGGAUUUAAAAAAGAUUGUAGGUGGAUUUGAACAUACACUUCGCUCAAAGCCGACUUUUUCUCAGGAAUCACAUGGAAAUAUCACAAAGAA